rnacentral:rRNA from 1 species
AGGACGAACGCUGGCGGCGUGCUUAACACAUGCAAGUCGAGCGGAAAGGCCCUUCGGGGUACUCGAGCGGCGAACGGGUGAGUAACACGUGAGCAAUCUGCCCUUAGCUUCGGGAUAGCUCCGGGAAACCGGAAUUAAUACCGAAUACGACUACGGCCGACAUCGGCUGUGGUGGAAAGUUUUUCGGCUAGGGAUGAGCUCGCGGCCUAUCAGCUUGUUGGUGAGGUAACGGCUCACCAAGGCGACGGCGGGUA